rnacentral:rRNA from 1 species
AUUGAACGCUGGCGGCAUGCCUUACACAUGCAAGUCGAACGGCAGCACGGGUGCUUGCACCUGGUGGCGAGUGGCGAACGGGUGAGUAAUACAUCGGAACGUACCUUAUCGUGGGGGAUAACGCAGCGAAAGCUGUGCUAAUACCGCAUACGCCCUGAGGGGGAAAGCGGGGGAUCGCAAGACCUCGCGCGAUUAGAGCGGCCGAUGCCUGAUUAGCUUGGUGGUGGGGUAAAAGCCCACCAAGGCGACGAUCAGUAGCUGGUCUGAGAGGACGAUCAGCCACACUGGGACUGAGACACGGCCCAGACUCCUACGGGAGGCAGCAGUGGGGAAUUUUGGACAAUGGGGGCAACCCUGAUCCAGCAAUGCCGCGUGAGUGAAGAAGGCCUUCGGGUUGUAAAGCUCUUUUGUCAGGGAAGAAACACCGGCUCUAACACAGUCCGGGAAUGACGGUACCUGAAGAAUAAGCACCGGCUAACUACGUGCCAGCCGCCGCUGUAA